GCCUGAUGCUACUCCAGAUGGAUGCGACACCCCUCCCCAAGUCCGUCGGUGCCUCUCGCUCGGCCAAAGGUGGCCGGAGCCGGCCAGGCUGCCGCCGGUGCCGCGCCCCUCCUUCUGGACCAUAGGCAAGCGCGAGCGGGCGCUUGAAGACGAAGACGACCCGGACCCCUUCCCCUGGGCCCCGCCUGUCGGCCUCUAUGCGCUGACCGAGCCGGCCCGUUGAAGUGGAUUAGUGGAAACGGAUUUCCCCGAAUACCUUUCUGCUAAUCGAAAGCGUAGGCAGCCGCGGUUGUGGGAAAGAAUACACUUUCACUUACACCGAAAGCGUAUUAACUCGAGGGCGCGUUCUGUUUUUCCUGCUGAGGGCCUGUUUGUGAUGAUAUCUUUACAGAUACGUCCCUGGAAGAAAAACUAUCAUAUCUUUUUACUCCCAACUCCAAAUAAGGUGAUUCCAAAGCCCACUUCUUCGUUUCGUCGAGCCCGUUCCAAUGAAAUCAUUUUCACCAUGUUUUGACAUUCUGAAAAUGACCAUUUUGCCCCUGCCCUUAUUCAACCCCCUCCGAGAGAGUACGUUUUCCAGCGAUUCUUUCCGCGAGCCUCUCGCACUUCUUCUCGGUGAUUUCUUCCAUCCCAGGCAAGCCACACCCUCCAUUUGCAUGAUUGCAAUGCAGUGACAUGGUUUAAGUUAUUUGAACUUGUUUAAAAUAUUGCCUUAGCUAUGUAUGAUUUGUUCAUGGUAUUUCUCGGAGUGUUGUUUUGAUCUUGAUAUUGCCAUGAUAUUGCUUGAAGUUCUAGGACUUAUAGUUAAUGAUUAAUUGGAUAUCAUGUGCCUUUGCAUUCUUAGUGGCUAGUAUGAUUAUUGUCAUGAUGGUAUCUGUUAUUAUCUUGGAGCAUUACUGUGGAUAUCAUGUGCCUUUGGAUUCUUAGUGGCUAGUAUGAUUAUUGUCAUGAUGGUAUCUGUUAUUAUCUUGGAGCAUUACUUUGGAUAUCAUGUUGCCUUUGGAUUAUUAGUGGCUAGUGUUAUUUUCAUCAUGAUGCUAGAUGAUAUUAUGUUUUGGAGUAUGAUGUUGGAGAUGAUGCUUGCAUGUGGAUCAUAGUUGGAUAGUUAGUUCUUGAUAUUUGAGUAGUAGUCUUAUCAUUCUUGGAUUCAUCAUAAUGGUAGUGUUAUGCUGUCCUCGGAGUAUUCUGAAGAUACGAUAUUCAGCUUUGGAUUAUUUCUUUGAUAUUGCUAUGACUUGGAUUAUAGGUAGAUAGAUGAUAUCAGACUAUCGGUCAUUACUAUUAUAUUUUGGGGAUAAAUUACGUCAUUAAGUUGGUCAGGUGCCACCGAACCGGGAUUUUUCCAGUGCAACCACAUUUGCCUUUAUGGGAAGGCCCUAAUGUGGUCUAUUGUCGUGCCUCUCACCGGUGCCUCCAACGAGGGAAUGUUAUGGGCGUGUGGUACCCUGGCCCGGUAAGCAGACAUAACCUUGUGUGCCUGUAGUUGGAUUUUGCACGCAUGGUCCCCGUUUGGGACCGUUUUGUUUGCCACGAUGGUGGUCGUUGUGUCUUUGGUAGACACGGGGCCACCCAGGACUAUCCCAGUGGGGAGUGACUCGGAGUGGCCGGGAGAGUGUCAUGGCAGUAGAUCGGUUUUGUUGGAACGCCGUUGGUCCACCCGAAUGGGAGUGCGAGGCCAUGGGUUCUGUGGUGUAGUAAAGUGCGCUACCUCUGCAAAGUGUAUUUAAAUCUAUCAAUAGCCGCGUCCUCGGUCAUGGGCAUGGGUUCGUACUAGGUCACACCGUUCGAUCAACACUCACAUGACGGAAUGACUUAUAGGUGAUUUAUAUGUUGAUAUUUUGAGCAGUACAGAUUGGCAGGAUGUUGAUGAUGAUGUUGGAGACCAAGUGUUGUUCAAGGUAGUGAUCGUCGGAAAGAUCAUCGUUUGAGACCAAGUGUUGGUCAUGGUUGUGAUCGCCAGAAAGAUUACCGUUUGGUUUUGAUCACGAGGUGAUCGAGAUGGUAUAUUGCUUGGCCGGUUAGCUAAGAGAAAUAUGGUUAUGGAGAUCCGAGAUGGUGAUUUAUUAGUAUUGUAUCAGUUUCAUACCCUGCUUAGUAGUUGUUUCAUCAUAAUAGCUGUUAAUUUAAUUAACCUGUUAAAUGCUAUGUUAUUGUCUUGCCUUGAUGUUUAUGGUUGUUGUGAGCUUGCAAGUACAUUCAAUGUACUGACCUAGCGUGUCAUGCCAGAUUACAGGUGAGGCCAUGAUUGCUUGAUUGCUUGUCGAGGUUGCCAUGCGUGCGAGCUAGAUCGUGUGCCAGCCAGAGUCCCUAUGGAGUGGAGUUCACCACUUCCGUCUUUGUUCCGCUGCUACGAGUUGUUCCGCUGCUAGCAUAGAGCAAGUGCAGUAUCACAGGCGUAGUGUCGCCGUGCUGGUGUGCCUCUUUGUAACAUGAGACCCUUGUAUUAUUAUUCUUGUAAUAAGAGCUGAUUUGUUCUAUGUCAAGCAGUGUCAUAUUCCAGAGACUUCUGCUCGAUCUCUGGGCUGGAAUACAGGGCGUUCCGGUUUCUCUGAGCCGGGGUGCCACAGGCUUGGUAUCAGAGCAGGUCUGGCUGUAGGACGCCCUAGUUAGUGGGAGCGGUAGAAACCGGUAGAAAUCGGUAGUAUAGAGUUUGGCUUGUUUACUGCAGUUGGUUGCUACAUUUGUUUGUUGCACAACAUGCACAUAUAGCCUUAUUAUUUUGUUGCUAACGGUUUAUCUGGUGAGUGUAGCUGGCAUCGGUUCGGAUCCACUACAGCUCAGCCUCUGCAUUUCUCCAGUUCCUUUUUCUUUCGGUGUUUGGUGUCAUUUCUAUCCCAGCAGAGUGAUGCCAAGUGAUCCCGACACUGUUUGCAGAAAUGGUGCUCAGGUAUCGCGCCGAUGUCUUUCUUUCAGUCUCGCCUAUCGUUUCGGUGAUGAACAUGCUUCUAUCCCGAAUCGCUCUUUUAUUUUGUCGUGUUGGCAACCCUUAAUGAUCUGAGUUAUCAAGAAAGGGCAAGGUCAGCAGCCUCAGUUUUCCCCGCCAUCCUUAUUUCUUGGACGAGUACGGAUAUUUUCCAUCCGCUUGAUAAUAAUGUGGUCGCGACAUUCUUGUCCUGCUACAUAGUUACCAAGUACGUCCUCGCCUCCGAGCUAGUCCAGGUUGCUACCUGGCUAAGCUAGCACUUGGUGUAGCACUAUUUACACCAAUUCUUCCACACCAUUAUUCGUCCUCGUGCACAUCUUCACAGCAUGCUAGAUCGUAGAACCGGGGAUCCCGUGAGAUUUGUGUGCUUAAGUAGGCAUGCAUAUUGUGUGACUAGCAGUAUUAUGUGACACUGAUUUCGUGUGAAUUGAUUGUUGUGUGCUUGAGUUUUCUUUUGCUUCUUUCUUUUUGGGCCCCGAUGUUACAUCAUUUUUCCCCUCUAAAGAGUUGCUCAUCAACCGACAUCGGACCCGAAGAAUCAGUAAGGAUUUCAAACAUUUGGAAACUUGGCUAAACAUAAUGGAAUUCUCAGCCGACUGCAGUGAAAUGGGGAAUAUUUGAUUUUGAGGCUGAAAAUCAAUCUUGCAUUAGUGUGCACUCAUCGCAAUAGUAUUGAUAACUCAAGUCUAUAUCAGUAUAAAAUCCUCACAACAGUAAUGAUCAGCAGCAAGACAUGUUAUAUUUUCGGUCAAAGGUAUGGAUCAUAUAUAAAAUUUUGGCCCAGCAAUGCAUGAUGCUUGAAAUAUGUUAUCAUCCGAACUAAAGUCAGGAUGCGACAUGCUCAAGGAAGACAGUCAAACAAAAUUUCUCAUGCAAAUAAUCAGCCACAGAAUAUUAUGGGCGUGUGUGUAGAUUUUAGUCUGCAUAUUAGUAUGAAUCUUUGGAUGUAAGAAACCCAGUAUUAUUCCACAAGCUAUCGGAAGAAAUUUAUGAGGCAAGGCUCCUAAAUUUUUCCUCAAGAUGAUAUGCGAACAUUUUUCGGCCCACGAUACCCGGUCUUUCUCAACAAGAUACCUCGGUAAAAGCUUUCGACAGACAUAAAUGAAUUUUUCUCAACAAGCAAAGUCGAGGAGAAGCUUCUCAAGUACGGAACUUAGGCUUCUCCAGCACAAUAAUCAGACCAAGCUUCGUGUAUAAGCUAUAGAACCUUCUUCGACACGAUACCCAGACAAAAGAUUUGAGCAGAAGCUAACGAGUCUUCCUCAGCAAGCUAUUCGGAUGGCUUCUCUCGUAAGCCACCCAGUCUGCGCCAGUAUCACAAUAUUGCACCGUCCUCAAAGAAUAUGCGUCAGGACAUAUGCCUACCUCAAGGAUCAAGUGUUCGGUUGCAUAUGAUUCUUACACAUAUGGUGAGCAUGCAUCCCCAAUCAUAUCAGUCAUCCAUAUGAGGUACGGCAAGGAUCCAACAGAUAUACCUAAGGAAAGUGCGGAUACCACAGCCUCAUGAAUCAUGCAAAGGAAGAUAAGCAGAGAUACAUCUCAUGAAUUACAAGGAUCGACAAGAUCUGGGGAUGACAUCACAGAAUCCACAGUGUUGACAAUGGUCAUCAAGGUCAUUAUUCCUGCACCAGAUAAGGUGAUAUCAGGAAACCUUGUCACCUUUUUGUAUGAUUGGUCUCAACAAUGAGCUCCGUACAGCUACAAACCCCGAGUAUAUGUCAUAUAUGUGCGGACACAGGUCAGAAAAACAAGAACAAGGAAUAAUGUGAAAAAUAUUAAUCACAACCAUGGUCAUACGAAGAAUCAAGGACAGGCAUGGCCAAGUUAUUUCAGCAAGGUAUCCUGACAAAGAAAAUCAUGACCGUUAAAAGGUGAGACCGACAACAAAGGUAUGAUGAUUUUGCACGACCAUCAGGGUCCGGAUACCCCAAGUCAGUUGGAGGCCAUAAUUCCAGAUGGAUCCACAAAGACAUACACCUUCAGCGGCUUACUCUAUUUACAAGGAUUUUCAUAUCCCGCUGACCCGCUUGACAUGGUUAGUGUGGAAUAUCCAAGUUUGUUCUGUCAGAUCCAAGAUUCCUUUGCAACCUCAACAGUUUGACCUCAGCGGCAGUGUUAAAACAUAUCACGAUGUAUUACCAAAAAUGGGUAUACCGACAAAAUGAGAAAGUCAAAGCCGGAUAAUCAGCUCAGACCCAGUAUACUCGCCGACAAAAUCAAGUACACGGUCAGUCUGCCAGGAAAAGCAUUUGUCUGUCAGCCCCCUGUUGGGCCAGCCUCAACAUGUAAAUAUGUGAGGUAUGAUACAGCUAUAACUCCAUACACCGUUAUAUUGCUCCUGACAAAAGGCAAUCAGAUCAUUGGUACAUAUCUCACGCUCGAGCCAAAGAAAUAAAUCAAAAUCAGUACCACCUAUGAGCAGUCAGAUACUGUCAGAAGAUGGCCAUGAUCAAUUCUUAGCAUUUAUUGAAACCAGAAGGCUGUAUUUAUUUGAAGCAACCCCAUCACAAAAGUAUUAAGGUUUUCAUGACAAAAGGAAAUUUAUCCUCAGAUCCAUUGGAUAUCACCGCAGGUAUGAAAGAAUCAACGUCAGCAAAAGGAUUUGGUGUGUGAGAAAAAGCCCGUCAGAAUUUGGGGAAAAGGUAAAGCAAACCACCCCGAGCAAAGGUAAUCAAACCAUAUAAAAUUAUUGGGGGAACAAUAACUAAAGGAAAAAAAGGAUACCCGAGUUGGAAACAGUAUCCUAAAGUCAUACUUGUUCCCUGAGCAACUAAAUCUCGAGGAAGAGAUUUCUUUAAGGGGGUAAUAGUUGUAACAGCCUGGAUUUUGGCCAUUUCCUUUUUCUUUUGACUUAAUUGGGUUUCGCUCUGUUUUUUUCUUUUGUGGAUUGGUUCUGUGGCCUUACCACCUGGGAAAUCAUCUUCAUUUCCUCUACCAAGUGGCUCAUCGUCCUAAAAACUUUGCCAAGAUAAUGUCACUCCACUGCUUGACCAAACCCUAAGUUCUUUUUCCUCAGGAAUAUUCCUUUUCCUAUUAAAGGAAUAACCGUGUCUACUCUAGGUUGUGAAGCAACCUAUAUUUCUGUACAUCCAAAAAUUCCCAAAUAAUCCUUAUAAAUUUUUUGGGUCAUAUCUUCAUCAAAUAUGGCAAAUAUUUCAUUGGCCAUAUUUCUCAUCAUGCCCAAUAAAUUCAUUUCCUAUUCUGUCCCAAAUGGCACAUUGUGAAGAGAGUGCUAUUUAUAUUUUCCCAUUUGCCUCCAAAAUUUUUGGGCAUGAUAUAUCAUCCAAAUAAUUGACCUGUGCCAAAAUUCAACUUUAUUUUCCUAGCCAAACAUCCUCAGUGAUUUUUCAAAGUUCCUGUCUGAGGGAAGCCUUUGUGAAGGAAGUUCUAGCUAGGCUUAUCCAAAUGAGGUAAAAUUUUGCAUGCCUCUUAUUAUGCUCAUAUUAUUUCACUCCUACAAAUUUAAGCUCCAUCCCUUGAUCUAUGUGAGCACAACAUCAAAUCUUUGAUUCUGUCAAUAUUUUCAGGUUGUGAAGCAAGUAUAUUUUAUAUUGCUUCAUUUUGCCUAAAAAAUUACCAGAGCAUUCUCCUACCCAAAUAACUUCUCUCCACCAAAUUUGGCUUUAAUUAUUAAAGCCAAUAUUUCUCGCAAAAUUUUGCAAGUUUCUGGACAAAGGGAAUAGCUGUGAAGCAAGUACCAUUUUGCUAAAACCAAUUAUUAUGAAAUUAUUAGAGCACCUUUAUCUGGCCAAAUCACCAAGCCCUGCCGAAUUUCAUCUCAAUUGGUUACUCUAUGUGAGUGAACCAUCUUGAUCUUGAUUUUGGACCCAUAAUGGUAGUUACAAAGCAAUCAUAUUAAUUAAUGGUCCAUUUCCCCUCAAACUCUCCAGAAUCAUAGUCCUUCUUAAUCUAAUUAUCUCAGACAAAUCCAUUUGGCCUAAGCCCUUCCCUGUUGAUCACCAGUGCACGAUCAAAUUUACAGCAGUAAACUUCAAAUGGUGAUUACCUUUUAACCAGACCUCUUUUUACUGAUAUACCACCUCAGUUGCAACCUCCAUUGGAUUAACUACGCACUAGAAAACAUGGCCAUAUCCAUCUCCCCCGCUUCAUGCCAGUGCGCGCGGUGACCACGUUAAUAGCAUCACUAUGCACGCGCUCUGUGUGCAGUGGCCGUUUGUGCUUCGGCAGCUCCUCCUCUCGUCGGCUUCGCGCGCGUGAGCGUGUCCAAGAGUUUUACCGCGUCGUGGCCGUCCUCCUGGACCUCUCUCGCUCUCUGUAAAACCCCUCACCGACGCUCGCCCGCGAACGCCCACGGGAGCACUGUGCGCCGGCCGCCGUCUUCCUCCUCGUCUCUUCCUCCCCGCGCCUCCGUUGGCCUCCUAUGCCCCGUGAGACUCUCUCCUGUUCCUCCUUCGUCGCCUAACUCCGAGCUCAUGCGUGCGCACACGCGACCGCUGCGCCGGACACGCGUCCGCGGCGACGCCAACGCGGCACCUCGCCCUUCUGCCUAUUUAAGCCAGUCCCGAGGCCUCCCGAGCUCACCAUCGCCCCUGCCUCACUCCCAGCAACCUCCCCAUCCAUCCGCUCGAGCCUAUGGAGCUCUCCUGUUCCACCAUUACCGCGAUGACCGCCGCAAAGCUCGGCUUAAAUCCGAGCCAUCCGGUCACCUCCUCCCCCCACUGACCUCACCAGAGUCUUCCCGGUGCUCCGGUGAACCUCUACACCACCCCACCAUCUCGUCGGAGUGCCUCCGGUCGUGAUCCCAAGGAUUGGCCACCGCCUCUGCCCUGGGCCACCGCAUCCCUUCGUCGCCCCUCGGCCCUCCCCGGCGCCUGAUACUGCUCCAGAUGGAUGCGGCGCCCCUCCCCGAGUCCGUCGGUGCCUCUCGCUCGGCCAGAGGUGGCCGGAGCCGGCCAGGCUGCCGCCGCCGCCGCGCCUCUCCCUCUUGACCACGGGCAAGGGCGAGCGGGCGCUUGAAGACGAAGACGACCCCCACCCGUGCCCCUGGGCCCCGCCUGUCGGCCUCUAUGCGCUGACCGAGCCGGCCGGCUGACGUGGAUUAGUGUAAACGGAUUUCCCUGAAUAUGUUUCCUCCAAUCGAAAGCGUAACCAGCCGCGGUUGUGGGCUAGAGUACGCUUUCACUUCACCGAAAGCGUAUUACCUCGAGGGCGCGUUCUGUAUUUCCUGCUGAGGGCCUCUUUGUGAUGAUUUCUUUAUAGAUAGGUCCCUGGCAGAAAAACUAUCAUAUCUUUUUACUCCCAACUCCAAAUGAGGUGAUUCCAAAGCCCACUUCUUCGUUUCGUCGAGCCCGUUCCGAUGGAAUCAUUUUCACAUGUUUUGACAUUCUGAAAAUGACCAUUUUUCCCCUGACCUUAUUCAGCCCCCUCCGAGAGAGUCCGUUUUCCGGUGAUUCUUUCCGCGAGCCUCUCGCACUUCUUCUCGGAGAUUUCUUCCACCCCAGGCAAGCCACACCCUCCAUUUGCAUGAUUGAAAUGCAGAGACAUGGUUUAAGUUAUUUGAACUUGUUUAAAAUAUUGCCUUAGCUAUGUAUGAUUUGUUCAUGGUAUUUCUCGGAGUAUUGUUUUGAUCUUGAUAUUGCCAUGAUAUUGCUUGAAGUUCUUGGACUUAUAUUUAAUGAUUAGUUGGAUAUCAUGUGCCUUUGGAUUCUUAGUGGAUAGUAUGAUUAUUGUCAUGAUGGUAUCUGCUAUUAUCUUGGAGCAUUACUGUGGAUAUCAUGUGCCUUUGGAUUCUUAGUGGCUAGUAUGAUUAUUGUCAUGAUGGUAUCUAUUAUUAUCUUGGAGCAUUACUUUGGAUAUCAUGUUGCCUUUGGAUUAUUAGUGGCUAGUGUUAUUUUCAUCAUGAUGCUAGAUGAUAUUAUGUUUUGGAGUAUGAUGUUGGAGAUGAUGCUUGCAUGUGGAUCAUAGUUGGAUAGUUAGUUCUUGAUAUUUGAGUAGUAGUCUUAUCAUUCUUGGAUUCAUCAUGAUAGUAGUGUUAUGUUGUCCUCGGAGUAUUUUGGAGAUACGAUAUUCAGCUUUGGAUUAUUUGUUUGAUAUUGCCAUGACUUGGAUUAUAGGUAGAUAGACGAUAUCAGAGUAUCAGUCAUUACUAUUAUAUUUUGGGGAUACAUUCCAUCAUUAAGUUGGUCAGGUGCCACCAAACCGGGCUUUUUCCAGUGCAACCACAUUUGCGUUUAUGGGAAGGCCCUAAUGCAGUCUAUUGUCGUGCCUCUCGCCGGUGCCUCCAAUGGGGAAGGUUAUGGGCGUGCGGUACCCUGGCCCGGUAAGCAGACAUAACCUUGUGUGCCCGUAGCUGGAUUUUGCGCGCGUGGUCCCCGUUUGGGACCGUUUUGUUUGCCGCGAUGGUGGCCGUUUUGGCCACGACGGUGGUCGUUGUGUCUUUGGUAGACACAGGGCCACCCAGGACUAUCCUAGUGGGGAGUGAGUCGGAGUGGCCGGGAGAGUGUCAUGGCAGUAUAUCGAUUUUGUCGGAACGCCGUUGGUCCACCCGAAAGGGAGUGCGAGGCCAUGGGUUCUGUGGUGUGGUAAAGUGCGCUACCUCUGGAGAGUGUAUUUAUAUGUAUCGAUAGCCGCGUCCUCGGUCAUGGGCAUGGGUUCGUACUAGGUCACAUCGUUCGGUCAACACUCACAUGACGGAAUGACUUACCGGUGAUUUAUAUGUUGAUAUUUUGAGCAGUACAGAUUGGCAGGAUGUUGAUGAUGAUGUUGGAGACCAAGUGUUGGUCAGGGUAGUGAUCGCCGGAAAGAUCACCGUUUGAGACAAAGUGUUGGUCAUGGUUGUGAUCACCGGAAAGAUUACCGUUCGGUUUUGAUCACGAGGUGAUCGAGAUGGUAUAUUGCUUGGCCGGUUAGCUAAGAGAAAUAUGGUUAUGGAGAUCCGAGAUGGUGAUUUAUUAGUAUUGUAUCAGUUUCAUACCAUGCUUAGUAGUUGUUUCAUCAUAAUAGUUGUUAAUUUAAUUAACCUGUUAAAUGCUAUGUUAUUGUCUUGCCUUGAUGUUUAUGGUUGUUGUGAGCUUGCAAGUACGUUUAAUGUACUGACCUGGCGUGUCAUGCCAGAUUGCAGGUGAUGCCAUGAUUGCUUGAUUGCUUGUCGAGGUUGCCGUGCGUGCGAGCUAGAUCGUGUCCCAGCUAGAGUCCCUGCGGAGUGGAGUUCACCACCUUCGUCGUUGUUCCGCUGCUACAAGUAUUCCGCUACGAGUUGUUCCGCUGCUAGCAUAGAGCAAGUGCAGUAUCGCAGGCGUACUGUCGCCGUACUGGUGUGCCUCUUUGUAACAUCAGACCCUUGUAUUAUUAUUCUUGUUAUAAGAGCUGAUUUGUUCU
rnacentral:lncRNA from 1 species